rnacentral:rRNA from 1 species
CCUACGUGAGGCAGCAGUGAGGAAUAUUGGUCAAUGGGCGUAAGCCUGAACCAGCCAAGUCGCGUGAGGGACGACGGCCCUACGGGUUGUAAACCUCUUUUGCCGGGGGACAAACGGCGGCACGCGUGCCGUCCGGAGGGUACCCGGAGAAAAAGCAUCGGCAAACUCCGUGCCAGCAGCCGCGGUAAUACGGAGGAUGCGAGCGGUAUCCGGAUUUAUUGGGGUUAAAGGGUGCGUAGGCGGGAUGCCAAGUCAGCGGUCAAAUACCGGGGCUCAACCUCGGCGCGCCGUUGAAACUGGCGUGCUUGAGUGGGCGAGAAGUAUGCGGAAUGCGUGGUGUAGCGGUGAAAUGCAUAGAUAUCACGCAGAACUCCGAUUGCGAAGGCAGCGUACCGGCGCCCAACUGACGCUGAAGCACGAAAGCGUGGGUAUCGAACAGGAUUAGAUACCCUAGUAGUC